UUGGUAACCAGUUUAUAAUAGCAAUAAGGCACCUUGGCCAUGGUAUAUUAGCCAUAUACCACACCUCUGGCCUUAUUGCAUAAUUAUACCCUGUUAUCUGUCAUCUUCAAAUGAUUAACUUUCUUUGUCACAAAAUAUAUUUCUAGCUUUAGCUUUAUAUAUGAAUGGAUUCUAACUCCGUAUACAACACUGUAUUGUCAUAGGGAGUUGAAGUCAUGAGUAACAGUGAUGCAUUUUGAAAACAUUCCAUACCCAGUCAAAUGCAUUCCUGACAUUUUAAUGUGGCCUGUCAUAAUGAAAUCUGAAAUGUUAUCUUUGCACAGAUGUAUGUAUCUGUUGCUCCUCAACAUACACAUUCUCCUCUCAGUCCUUGUGUAAUGAUUGCACAGUGAGAUCAAUGGAAGGUUUCUAUAGCGUUGGAAGUGUUGUCUAAUUUCUUUGUUGAGUGAGAGGGCUGGAUAAAGUAUUACUAACCCAUUAAUUUUAAAGUCCUGCAAAUAAGAGCUAUAGAAAUCUCUCACCCUCUUAUGCCGUUAAACCGUCAUAUACAGUGAAUAGCAUACCGACGGUGCCACAAUAUGACCAUUCCAUUCACAUGCUUUACCUAAGCAUUCAAUAGUUAGGCAGGGAUUUUAAGUGCUUGUAUUUGAGGUCCGAUAGUAAGAAGUCUUCUGUAUCGUCCAUGUUAGAGACUUGAAAUGUUGUGCCUAAGUGUAUCUAUCUAGCAAAUGAAAUCCUGUUGCCUCAAUACAUUUAACACACUUCUUUUAGCCUGAGGUUUUCCUCUAUUUUUUUGUGCUCUGCAAAUUACUAAUCUAUAGCCCCUUUCCCCAAAACGGAAAUAAAUUGAUGCCAAAUGCA